GACGAACCGUACGAACGUUAUUCGGAAUCACUGGGCUUAAAGGGUGCGUAGGCGGCGCAGAAAGUAGGGUGUGAAAUCCCUCGGCUCAACCGAGGAACUGCGCUCUAAACUACUGUGCUCGAGGGAGAUAGAGGUGAGCGGAACUUAGGGUGGAGCGGUGAAAUGCGUUGAUAUCCUAAGGAACACCGGUGGCGAAAGCGGCUCACUGGAUCUCUUCUGACGCUGAGGCACGGAAAGCUAAGGGUAGCAAACGGGG
rnacentral:rRNA from 1 species